GGUCCUGUAGUGUAGUGGUUAUCACAUGGGAUUCUGAUUAGUCAUGUUCCCAUGACCCAGGUUCGAGUCCUGGCAGGACCU